rnacentral:rRNA from 1 species
GUGAGGAAUAUUGGUCAAUGGGCGGGAGCCUGAACCAGCCAAGUCGCGUGAAGGAAGAAGGAUCUAUGGUUCGUAAACUUCUUUUGCAGGGGAAUAAAGUGCAGGACGUGUCCUGUUUUGUAUGUACCCUGAGAAUAAGGAUCGGCUAACUCCGUGCCAGCAGCCGCGGUAAUACGGAGGAUCCGAGCGUUAUCCGGAUUUAUUGGGUUUAAAGGGUGCGUAGGUGGUUUGAUAAGUCAGCGGUGAAAGUUUGCAGCUUAACUGUAAAAAUGCCGUUGAAACUGUCGGACUUGAGUGUAAAUGAGGUAGGCGGAAUGCGUGGUGUAGCGGUGAAAUGCAUAGAUAUCACGCAGAACUCCGAUCGCGAAGGCAGCUUACUAAGCUACAACUGACACUGAAGCACGAAAGCGUGGGGAUCAAACAGGAUUAGAAACCCGAGUAGUCC